rnacentral:rRNA from 1 species
UACGUAGGGUGCAAGCGUUGUCCGGAAUUACUGGGCGUAAAGGGCGCGUAGGCGGCCUGUUAAGUCGAACGUGAAAUCCCCGGGCUCAACCCGGGAACUGCGUCCGAUACUGGCAGGCUUGAAUUCGGGAGAGGGAUGCGGAAUUCCAGGUGUAGCGGUGAAAUGCGUAGAUAUCUGGAGGAACACCGGUGGCGAAGGCGGCAUCCUGGACCAACACUGACGCUGAGUGAGCGAAAGCCAGGGGAGCGAACGGG